rnacentral:rRNA from 1 species
GACGACUCUCGGCAACGGAUAUCUCGGCUCUCGCAUCGAUGAAGAACGUAGCGAAAUGCGAUACUUGGUGUGAAUUGCAGAAUCCCGUGAACCAUCGAGUCUUUGAACGCAAGUUGCGCCCCAAGCCUUCUGGCCGAGGGCACGUCUGCCUGGGUGUCACAAAU